rnacentral:rRNA from 1 species
UACGUAAGGGGCAAGCGUUGUCCGGAUUUAUUGGGCGUAAAGAGCGUGUAGGCGGCCUGACAGGUCUGCUGUGAAAACUCGAGGCUCAACCUCGAGAUGUCGGCGGAAACCGUCUGGCUAGAGUCCGGAAGAGGAGAGUGGAAUUCCUGGUGUAGCGGUGAAAAUGCGCAGAUAUCAAGGAAGAACACCUAUGGCGAAGGCAGCGUCUCUGGGACGGUACUGACGCUGAGACGCGAAAGCGUGGGGAGCGAACAGG